rnacentral:miRNA from 1 species
GGAGUUGUGACUGGACAUCUGCC